GCUUGUCUCAAAGAUUAAGCCAUGCAUGUCUAAGUAUAAGCAAACUUGUACUGUGAAACUGCGAAUGGCUCAUUAUAUCAGUUAUAGUCUACUCGAUAGUACCUUACUACUUGGAUAACCGUAGUAAUUCUAGAGCUAAUACAUGCGCAAAUACCCAACUGCUUGUCGGACGGGUAGCAUUUAUUAGAUUGAAACCAAUGCAGUCUUCGGGCUGGUAUUGUGUUGAGUCAUAAUAACUGUGCGGAUCGCGUUUUACGCGAUAAAUCGAUUGAGUUUCUGCCCUAUCAGCUUUGGAUGGUAGGAUAUGGGCCUACCAUGGCAUUAACGGGUAACGGGGAAUUAGGGUUUGAUUCCGGAGAGGGAGCCUUAGAAACGGCUACCACAUCCAAGGAAGGCAGCAGG
rnacentral:rRNA from 1 species